CAACAACAAAGACUAAGGCAGAGACUCCUGAUGAAGAAGAAGAUGAAGUUCAUAAGGAUACUUCUGGUGCUGUAAGUUCUGUUGUGGAUUAUAAUCUGGUGGUGUUGUUAGGAGUAAUUGGUACAGUUUCUGCAACAUUUUCUGUAUAACAAUAUACACCAUUCUGUAACUGACCCCACAGCCCACCAAACUGCUAUAUAUUGUUAUACAG
rnacentral:misc_RNA from 1 species